CUAACCAAUAAUAUGCUCAAACUGUACUAGAGAUGCAAAACAUUGGUCAAGUACAGUCUUACCUUAAUGCUUUUCCUAGAAUUAAUUUCUGUCCAAACAUUACUUAACUAAAAUCAUGUACCGACACUUUUCAUAGAGUUCAUUUCAUUUCCAUUCUCAAACUUUGCAUCCAUCUCAUUCUUCUUUCUUAUUUUUGAAAGAUGCCUGAGCAAAUUGUAUGUGGUGUUGCUGAAAACCUCAUUAACAGGUUGGCUUCUGCAGCUUUUCGUGAAUUUGGAAGGAUUUAUGGUGUAAUGGAUGAAUUGGAAAGGCUUAAGAGUACUCUUGACUCCAUCAAAGCUGUGCUCCUUGAUGCUGAAGACAAACAACAACAAAAUCAUGCUGUUCAAGUAUGGAUAAGAAGACUAAAAGAUGAUGUGCUUCAUCCUGCUGAUGACUUGCUAGAUGAAUUUGUUAUUCAAGAUAUCAAGUACAAAAUAGAUGAAACUUCUAAGAACAAAGUGGCAAAGGUACUUCAUUCCUUUUCUCCAAACAAAAUUGUUUUUCGCAGUAGAAUGGCUCAUGGGAUUGAAAAAAUACAAAAGAAAUUUAAAGAUGUUGUGAAAGAUAUGAUUGGUUUGAAUCUAAACCCAAAUGUUGUGGUGGCUGAGCAAAGUAACAAUGUAAAGAGAGAAACUAGUUCUUAUGUGUUAGAAUCAGAUAUCAUCGGAAGAGAAGAUGAUAAAAACAAGAUCAUAAGCUUGUUGAGGCAAUCACAUGGAAAUCAAAAUGUCUCCGUGGUUGCUAUUACUGGGAUUGGUGGUUUGGGAAAGACAGCUCUUGCUCAAUUGGUAUAUAAUGAUGCUCAAGUUGCAAUGAUUUUUGAAAAGCAUAUGUGGGUGUGUGUCUCUAAUAAAUUUGAUGUCAAAACCAUUCUUAAGAAAAUGUUGGAGUCAUUAACCGAAAGCGAAAUUAGUGAUAAGUUACCAUUGGAAAACUUGCAGAAAAUGCUCCGGGACAACUUAACGGGUAAGAAAUACUUGUUAGUCCUAGAUGACAUUUGGAACGAGAGUUUUGAAAAAUGGACUCAAUUGAGGACUUAUUUGACGUGUGGUGCUCAAGACAGUAAGGUUGUAGUGACAACUCGAACUAAAAUUGUAGCACAAACAAUGGGUGUAAGUGUCCCCUACAUUCUGAAUGGUUUGAAUCCAAUACAAUCUUGGAGUUUGUUGAAGAAAAUUAUUACAUAUGGGGAUGAGACUAAAGAAGUGAAACAAAUUCUUGAAUCAAUUGGUAAGAAGAUAGCAGAAAAGUGUUGUGGUGUUCCACUAGCAAUCAAAACGCUAGGAGGCCUAUUACAGGGUAAAAGUGAAAAAAAGGAAUGGAUUGCUAUUUUACAAUGUGACUUUUGGAAGUUAUGUGAAGAUGAAGAAAUCAUCAUGCCUGUGUUGAAACUAAGUUACCAAAACUUGUCGCCUCAACUAAGACAAUGUUUUGCUUAUUGCUCUUUAUAUCCUAAGGAUUGGGAAAUACAAAAGGAUGAGUUGAUUCAACUAUGGAUGGCACAAGGUUAUCUUGAAUUUUCAGAUGAAAAACUUACCAUGGAUGACAUCGGUAACCAAUUCGUGAAGAUUUUGUUGAUGAAGUCAUUUUUCCAAGAUGCUCAAGUUGACGAUCACAAUAACUUAAAUAGUUUUAAGAUGCACGAUUUAAUACAUGAUCUUGCCAUGCAAGUUGCCGGGAAUGAUUGUUGUUUCUUGGAUAGUGAGACAAAAAGACUUGUAGGAAGUCCCAUGCAUGUAAUGUUGAGUGAUGCUAUUGGUUUGUUAGAGUCAUUGGAUGCAAGCAGGGUGCGAACAUUAAUUUUCGAGAACAAUAUUUCAGGGAAUUGGUAUGAGAAGGAAUUGUCUAUAAUUUCAAAACUCAAAUACCUACGCUUUUUGAAGCUGUCAUAUUGUUCUAUAAGUAAGUUGUGUGAUUUAAUUGGAAAUUUGAAACAUUUAAGAUAUCUUCAGUUGUGGUACUGUGCAGGGCUAGAAGGCAUUUUCAAAUCUAUAGUUAACAUUGUUUGUCUUCAAACACUUAUAUUGGUUGAGUGUCGAGUAUUUGAUUUUUCUACAAAAGAUGUCGUAAGUUUAAUCAAUUUGAGAUAUCUUCAUAUCGAGAAUUUAAAAGCAUUUAAAGAGAAGAAAACAACGGUUGGAUUUGGAAAAUUAAGCCUGGGGGAGCAGUAUAAGGGUUUCAUUUUUUCCAACUGGCUUUCUUCCCUCACAAACAUUGUGAAAAUAUUUCUUAGGAACUGUCAAGGUGUGCAAUAUCUCCAACCAAUGGAAUGUCUCCCAUUCCUAAAGUAUCUUUUUAUAGGCGACCUUCACGAGUUGGAGUACAUAUAUUAUGAAGAGCCUCUUUUGUCUGAAGCAUUCUUCCCUUCUUUGGAGGUUCUCAGAAUUUUUAGAUGCGAAAAGUUGAAGGGAUGGUGGAGGAUAAGGGAUGGUAACUCUUCACAAUCAUAUCAUCUCUCCUUUUUGCCUUGUCUUUCUUACUUAACUAUUGUUGAUUGUCCAAUGUUGACUCACAUGCCUACUUUUCCAAACCUUGACAAGAAAUUGGAUUUCUUCGAUUGUAAUACGGACGCAUUGGAAGCAACAUUAAACAUGGUAAAAUCGAAUUGUUCGGUUGAAUUCCCUCCACUUUCCAUGCUAAAAUGCUUGAUUCUUGGCGGUCAUGAGCUGGACGUGAAAACACUCCCAAAUGAUUGGAUGGAAAAUCUGACUUCUCUCGAGCAUCUUGAAUUUUAUAAUCUUCCGAAUCAAACAUUUCAAGAAAUUGAAAUUUGGUUUGAGGACAGACUCAACUAUCUACCUUCCCUGCAAAAGAUAAACAUUUCACAAUGUUUCGAGCUAGAGGCAUUUCCCGUUUGGAUUUGCAACCUCUCGUCAGUUCAGCAUAUAACCAUUUCGGAAUGUCAAAUUUUAGCUUCACUGCCUGAUGGAAUGCCUCGUCUUACCAACUUACAUACCCUUGAAAUCAUUCAAAGUCCCCUCUUAACUGAUGAAUGCCGGACAGAAACAAGUGCAACAUGUCUCAAAAUUGCUCACAUCCCAAACAUAAUCUUAAAGUGAUAUUCUCGUUAAAGGUUGUACUUCUAGAAAAUGCAACAGAUGCGCAGAGAAAUGCUCAGCGUGAUAUGAGGAAGAAUGAUCAGAAGGCUCUAUUCUACAUCCAUUAAUGUGUGGAUGUGAACGUGUUUGAGAAAAUCGUUGCUUCGACGACAGCGAAAACUGUGUGGGACACAUUGGUGGGGUGCUACAACGGUGAUGCAUAAGUGAAGAAGGUUGGCUUCUGCAGCAUUUCAUGAAUUUGACGGAUUUAUGGUGUUAAUAAUGAAUUGGAAAGACUUAAGAACACAGUUGAAUCUAUUAGAGUUGUGCUCCUCGACGCUGAAGAGAAACAAGAAACACAAAAUCAUGCUGCACGGAAUUGGGUAAGAAGGCCCAAUGACGUGCUUUAUCCUGCAUUUGAUUUGUUAGAUGAAUUUGUUAUUCAAGAUAUGAAACAGAAAAUGGAUGUAGCUCAUAAGAACAAAGUAUCAAAGGUAUUAUGUAACUUGUCUCCAACUCAAAUAAUGGCACGAAAAUUGAAAAGAUCCAAAAGAAGUUCAAUGAUGUCUGGGUUGAAUCUAAACCCAAAUAGGGUGGUGGUUGUGCAAAGUAAUAAUAUAAAGAGGGAAACGGAUUCUUAUGUAUCGGGAUCAGAUAUUAUCGGAAGAGAAGAUGAUAAAAAAAAGAUCAUAAGUUUGUUGAAACAACCGUUUAGUUAACUUUGCGAAUAGAAGGUUAGCUUUAGUUUAUUUGGUUUCUUUUAUUUAUUGAAAGUGAAAAGAGAAAGAGUAAAAAAAGGUUUUUUUUUAUUAGGGUGUUUAACGAGAUAUUGAAUCUCGCUUCUACGUAUCCCCAGGUGCGUUGAGGAAAUCAAGACUACUUAGUUUUGGAUAGAAAAUGUUUGUGGGUUGAUCGAUUCUAGUGAACGAUGUUUAUUUCGCAUUUGAGCGGAAAAUAUUGCUUGCUACUCAAUCAUAAAAAUCGGAAAUGUUGUGAGCUGCACCAGAAUGGAAAUGUUGUGAGUUGCAC